GAAGGUAGAGCUCAGUGGUAGAGUGUGUGCCUAGCAUGCAUGAGGCUCUGGGUUCAAUCUCCAGUAGCUCCA
rnacentral:tRNA from 1 species